AACUUAAGCAUAUCAAUAAGCGGAGGAAAAGAAACCAACAGGGAUUGCCCCAGUAACGGCGAGUGAAGCGGCAACAGCUCAAAUUUGAAAUCUGGCCCCUCGGGGUCCGAGUUGUAAUUUGUAGAGGAUGCUUUUGGUGAGGUGCCGCCCGAGUUCCCUGGAACGGGACGCCACAGAGGGUGAGAGCCCCGUCUGGCUGGCCGCCGAGCCUCUGUAAAGCUCCUUCGACGAGUCGAGUAGUUUGGGAAUGCUGCUCAAAAUGGGAGGUAUAUGUCUUCUAAAGCUAAAUAUUGGCCAGAGACCGAUAGCGCACAAGUAGAGUGAUCGAAAGAUGAAAAGCACCUUGAAAAGAGGGUUAAAUAGUACGUGAAAUUGUUGAAAGGGAAGCGCUUGUGACCAGACUUGGGCGCGGCGGAUCAUCCGGGGUUCUCUCCGGUGCACUUCGCCGCGCCUGGGCCAGCAUCAGUUCGCCGCGGGGGAAAAAGGCUUCGGGAACGUGGCUCCCCCGGGAGUGUUAUAGCCCGUUGCACAAUACCCUGCGGUGGACUGAGGACCGCGCAUCUGCAAGGAUGCUGGCGUAAUGGUCACCAGCGACCCGUCUUGAAACACGGACCAAGGAGUCGUCUUCGUAUGCGAGUGUUCGGGUGUCAAACCCCUACGCGUAAUGAAAGUGAACGCAGGUGAGAGCUUCGGCGCAUCAUCGACCGAUCCUGAUGUUCUCGGAUGGAUUUGAGUAAGAGCAUACGGGGCCGGACCCGAAAGAAGGUGAACUAUGCCUGUAUAGGGUGAAGCCAGAGGAAACUCUGGUGGAGGCUCGCAGCGGUUCUGACGUGCAAAUCGAUCGUCAAAUAUGGGCAUGGGGGCGAAAGACUAAUCGAACCUUCUAGUAGCUGGUUUCCGCCGAAGUUU
rnacentral:rRNA from 1 species